AUGCCCUAGUAACGGCGAGUGAAGCGGCAACAGCUCAAAUUUGAAAUCUGGCCUUCUGGUCCGAAUUGUAAUUUGUAGAGGAUGCUUUUGGUUAGGUACCUUUCGAGUUCCUUGGAACAGGACGCCUUAGAGGGUGAGAGCCCCGUACGAUUGGAUACCGAGCCUCUGUAAAGCUCCUUCGACGAGUCGAGUAGUUUGGGAAUGCUGCUCUAAAUGGGAGGUAAAUUUCUUCUAAAGCUAAAUACCGGCCAGAGACCGAUAGCGCACAAGUAGAGUGAUCGAAAGAUGAAAAGCACUUUGAAAAGAGGGUUAAAUAGUACGUGAAAUUGUUGAAAGGGAAGGGCUUAUGACCAGACCUUUGCCUUGCGGAUCAUCCGGUGUUCUCACCGGUGCACUCCGCUUGGUUGAGGCCAGCAUCAGUUUUGGCGGCCGGAUAAAGACUUCAGGAAUGUGACUCCUCCGGGAGUGUUAUAGCCUGCUGUGUAAUACGGCCGCUGGGACUGAGGACCGCGCUUCGGCUAGGAUGCUGGCAUAAUGGUCAUCAGCCACCCGUCUUGAAACACGGACCAAGGAGUCGAACAUUUAUGCGAGUUUUUGGGUGUUAAACCCUCAAGCGUAAUGAAAGUGAACGGAGGUGAGAGCCCUUACGGGUGCAUCAUCGACCGAUCCUGAUGUCUUCGGAUGGAUUUGAGUAAGAGCAUAACUGUUCGGACCCGAAAGAUGGUGAACUAUGCGUGGAUAGGGUGAAGCCAGAGGAAACUCUGGUGGAGGCUCGCAGCGGUUCUGACGUGCAAAUCGAUCGUCAAAUCUGCGCAUGGGGGGCGAAAGACUAAUCGAACCAUCUAGUAGCUGGUUACCGCCGAAG
rnacentral:rRNA from 1 species